rnacentral:rRNA from 1 species
UACGGGAUCCCAAGGAGGUGAAUCCGAGUGAUAGCUGCUAACCAAAUCUAAUACCCGGUUAAAACCACCUGUAAAAUAUGGGCUCGGCAAGUCUGGUGUCGUGCGACCGGGUAAUACCCCCCCCUCAAGUGGUUAAGAGGUUUAUUGGGCCUAAACGGUCCCUAGGCUGAUAUGCAAAUCUCCCGUUAAAUCCACAUGAUUAACACAUGGGCUACCGGAGAUAUUACAACGGGUGGAGCAACUGGAGAUGUAAGAGGUACUACGGGGGUAGGAGUGAAAUCUUGUAAUCCCCGUGGGACCACCAGUGGCGAAGGCGUCUUACCAGAACGGGUCCGACGGUGAGGGACGAAAGCUGGGGGCACGAACCGGAUUAGAUACCCGGGUAGUCCCAGCUGUAAACUAUGCUCGCUAGUGUCAGGGACGGUGCGACCGUUUCUGGUGCCGCAGGGAAGCCGUGAACGAGCCACUGGGAAGUACGGUCCAAGGCUGAAACUUAAAGGAAUUGGCG